rnacentral:misc_RNA from 1 species
GAUGAAGAACGCAGCGAAAUGCGAUAAGUAGUGUGAAUUGCAGAAUUCAGUGAAUCAUCGAAUCUUUGAACGCACAUUGCGCCCUUUGGUAUUCCAAAGGGCAUGCCUGUUUGAGCGUCAUUUGUACCCUCAAGCUUUGCUUGGUGUUGGGCGUCUUGUCUCUAGCUUUGCUGGAGACUCGCCUUAAAGUAAUUGGCAGCCGGCCUACUGGUUUCGGAGCGCAGCACAAGUCGCACUCUCUAUCAGCAAAGGUCUAGCAUCCAUUAAGCCUUUUUUUCAACUUUUGACCUCGGAUCAGGUAGGGAUACCCGCUGAACUUAAGCAUAUCAAUAAGCGGAGGA